rnacentral:rRNA from 1 species
UACAGAGGGUGCAAGCGUUAAUCGGAAUUACUGGGCGUAAAGCGCGCGUAGGUGGUUUGUUAAGUUGGAUGUGAAAUCCCCGGGCUCAACCUGGGAACUGCAUCCAAAACUGGCAAGCUAGAGUAUGGUAGAGGGUGGUGGAAUUUCCUGUGUAGCGGUGAAAUGCGUAGAUAUAGGAAGGAACACCAGUGGCGAAGGCGACCACCUGGACCGAUACUGACACUGAGGUGCGAAAGCGUGGGGAGCAAACAGG